UACGUAGGGAGCAAGCGUUGUCCGGAAUCAUUGGGCGUAAAGCGCGCGUAGGCGGCCUCAUAAGUCCGUUGUGAAAGUCAAAGGCUCAACCUUUGAAAGCCGAUGGAUACUGUGAGGCUAGAGUCCGGAAGAGGCGAGUGGAAUUCCUGGUGUAGCGGUGGAAUGCGCAGAUAUCAGGAGGAACACCAAUAGCGAAGGCAGCUCGCUGGGACGGUACUGACGCUAAGGCGCGAAAGCAUGGGGAGCAAACAGG
rnacentral:rRNA from 1 species